rnacentral:rRNA from 1 species
AGUGGGGAAUAUUGCACAAUGGGCGCAAGCCUGAUGCAGCGACGCCGCGUGAAGGAAGAAGGUCUUCGGAUUGUAAACUUCUAUCAGCAGGGAAGAAUAAAUGACGGUACCUGACUAAGAAGCCCCGGCUAACUACGUGCCAGCAGCCGCGGUAAUACGUAGGGGGCGAGCGUUAUCCGGAUUUACUGGGUGUAAAGGGUGCGUAGGCGGUUUGUUAAGUCAGAAGUGAAAUUUAGGGGCUCAACCUCUAAGCUGCUUCUGAAACUGAUGAACUAGAGUGUAGGAGAGGAAAGCGGAAUUCCACGUGUAGCGGUGAAAUGCGUAGAGAUGUGGAGGAACACCAGUAGCGAAGGCGGCUUUCUGGACUAUUACUGACGCUGAGGCACGAAAGCGUGGGGAGCAAA